UUCUGACCGUAAACGAUGCCAACUAGCGAUCCGCCGGUGGCUACCAGGCCCUGGUGGGGAGCUUCCCGGAAACGAAAGUCUUCCGGUUCCGGGGGAAGUAUGGUUGCAAAGCUGAAACUUAAAGGAAUUGACGGAAGGGCACCACCAGGAGUGGAGCCUGCGGCUUAAUUUGACUCAACACGGGAAAACUCACCCGGCCCGGACACCGUAAGGAUUGACAGAUUGAUAGCUUUUUCAUGAUUCGGUGGUUGGUGGUGCAUGGCCGUUCUUAGUUCGUGGAUCGAUUUGUCUGGUUUAUUCCGAUAACGAGCGAGACUCCAGCCUACUAACUAGUACGAGCAUUGCCUCUGUGCUCGGCACUUCUUAGAGGGAUUGGCUGCGUCUAGCGGCACGAAACGGAGCAAUAACAGGUCUGUGAUGCCCUUAGAUGUCCGGGGCUGCACGCGCGCUACACUGGCAAAGGCAACGUGCUUGUCCGUCUCCGAAAGGAGCCGGUAAACCCUUGAAAAUUUGCCGUGAUUGGGAUCGGAAAUUGCAAUUAUUUUCCGUGAACGAGGAAUUCCUAGUAAGUGCGAGUCAUCAGCUCGCGUUGAUUACGUCCCUGCCCUUUGUACACACCGCCCGUCGCUGCCUAGAACUGAGCCAUUUCGAGAAUAUUCGGGAUCGUUGGUUGCGUGUCUUUCGGGACAUGCCUCCGGCCAGAGAACGAACGUAAUCGCAAUGGCUUGAACCGGGCAAAAGU
rnacentral:rRNA from 1 species